GAGUCAUUCAGGCGGCCCAGCCAUCAGUUAUUCAGUCUCCACAAGUCCAAACAGUUCAGUCUUCCUGUAAGGACUUAAAAAGACUUUUCUCCGGAACACAGAUUUCAACUAUUGCAGAAAGUGAAGAUUCACAGGAGUCAGUGGAUAGUGUAACUGAUUCCCAAAAGCGAAGGGAAAUUCUUUCAAGGAGGCCUUCCUACAGGAAAAUUUUGAAUGACUUAUCUUCUGAUGCACCAGGAGUGCCAAGGAUUGAAGAAGAGAAGUCUGAAGAGGAGACUUCAGCACCUGCCAUCACCACUGUAACGGUGCCAACUCCAAUUUACCAAACUAGCAGUGGACAGUAUAUUGCCAUUACCCAGGGAGGAGCAAUACAGCUGGCUAACAAUGGUACCGAUGGGGUACAGGGCCUGCAAACAUUAACCAUGACCAAUGCAGCAGCCACUCAGCCGGGUACUACCAUUCUACAGUAUGCACAGACCACUGAUGGACAGCAGAUCUUAGUGCCCAGCAACCAAGUUGUUGUUCAAGGUACUCAAAAAUUGUAAAGCAGGAUGUCAGUGAAUUUGAAUUCUGAACGUCAGUUUGAAGAUGAGUCUACUUGAAAUUUUUUAAUAUGAAUUUACCAAUAUCAAAGGAAGACACUGAGGACUAUACUCUAUCUAGGAAGAUCAUCCAAGCUGUGCCCCACUUACCUUUUAGACUUAAGCUGCCUCUGGAGACGUACAAACAUACCAGAUUCGCACAGCACCCACUAGCACUAUUGCCCCUGGAGUUGUUAUGGCAUCCUCCCCAGCACUUCCUACACAGCCUGCUGAAGAAGCAGCACGAAAGAGAGAGGUCCGUCUAAUGAAGAACAGGGAAGCAGCUCGAGAGUGUCGUAGAAAGAAGAAAGA
rnacentral:lncRNA from 1 species